UUAAAAUUUCUACCUUUAACCUUCGGAGUGAGAAACACAGAGUAGCAGAGAGCAGCAAUGCUUGGCAUCCAACAGACAAAAGGGUGGGACUGGCAGGAAAAACAGCGAUGAAUAAAGCUCAAGUUCUCCUUUAUGAGCCCCUCAUCUAACGACCGCACUCGAUUACAGCAAGGCUCAGAGUUGAGGAACUUUUUACAGGAUUACUGCCAGUUUCCUCCAGCACUCACACACACACACACACACACACACUGCUGGAUGCUGGAGCGUCUCUGUGAGAGCGGAGUGGGCUGAGGCUAUAAUGAGCGGUAUGAAGGGAUGAUGUUGAAGACUGGCUGAGCUCGUCAGGGGUAAACAGUGGGGAGUUUCCUUUAGAUUCUACCAUCCGCUUUUCUGGUUUGUCUCUGUUAGGCAGUCCGUUCUGCUUUGAUCCCGUAGAAGCUAAAAGACGCUAAAAAAAAGCUGAAAAAAUGAGGUAAAGAGGAUCCAGUGUUGAUAAAAGGUUACGACACAGCUGGAGAUGGGGACAUUGAGCUCAGAUUUGCAACUCCUAAACACCUCGCCGGACUCCACGACUGUCCUACUGUCAUGGAUAUUUCAGAAGAGUGAGGAACAUUAAGCCUGGAGAAUCACUGGAGAGUCUGUGAGGCUUCCACAUCACGCCAGACUGCACUUUAUUUUGCAAUAAUUUGAUGCAGUCAGUUCGACCCGUCCUUGUUUAAUGUGGCAUCAACCCUUUACACUUCCCUCCCCACAUAUUGUAAAGCAAAUUACUUAAUUUAGAGAUAUGAGAAAUAUCUGAUAGAGAGAAAAGCCAAAUGGAGGACAUCAUACGAAAUGUAUUUCCAUAAAACAUCCUCCAAAGGCCUUUUCACAUGAUUUCACAAGACUAAUGAUUUUUUAAAAUGAUUUAAUCACUACUUGGGUGGCAAGUACAUGAAUAAAUGAAGAAGGGUUGCAUGCUAAACUGUGAAACCUGAUCAGCCCACACAUGACUGUGAUUCAAAAUGCAUGCACUGCUACACACUUAUUACAACAUAGCCAUGUUUUUCCUGACAUGGUAAUACUUUAGUGUUCUCUAAAGUAUCUCAGAGUACCAUGCAAAUAUGUUUUUUUAGCAAGAGAUAUGUUACUUAACAAUCUUUUCCUCAAUGUACCGAGACUUAGACUCAGAUUUGCAUCUCUUUCUCACCUCUUCUCCACAUCUGCCUCACAAAGACCGCAAAUGAAUCUUCUUGGAUGCAAUAAGCGAUGUUAACUGUUCAUUUCAAAACCCUUAUCUUUCUUGCCGUUUUAGAGAGAAAAUUGCAUCAAGUUUCUUAUCUGGGUGUAGUGGAUAAUUAGGGAAAUACCUAGAGUUAAGCCAAGCAUGGGAGAAGCAGGAGCUGGGGUGGGACGGCGGGGGUUACCGGCUUGUUGUGACUGUGUGGGUUCCUGGCAUGCUGAUUUGUGACUGUAGGGAAAAAUCACAUUGCCAGGGAUUACCACACUGCCAUGGCCUUCCCAGCCGUUCACCAGGAAAUGGACAAAAAAUGGAGGAAAUCAAAUGGAAGAAAUUUGAGGAAAAAGGCACCUGGCAGAAUGAGACAGGGGAACUUCAUUGGGGUUUUUGUACUUCAACAGCAAAACAACUGCAACUGUGCCGUCGCUCUCGGCGGGUGCAGAGCUUAGCUGAUUGGUGAACAUGCACACUUUGUUUUUUUGUUCACAGUGGCUAAGUUCUUCACCUGAAAAGAAACUAAGAAAUUGCAGUUAUUUUCUGUUGGAAUGACCAUGCCGUGUAUUUGUUGUCUAUAAAUGUAUAUACCCCUCGUGAAAAAGAAGCACACUUUAAAAGACUAUACUGAAGUGUGAACUGAAUGUAGUGAUUUCGGACACUUAAUCACAGGUUAACUGCAAAUAAAUCAACAUUUAUUAUAUUUAAAAUGUAUAUUAAAAGCAAUUAGCUGAACUUUAAAGUGCUUUAAGGACUUAUGUAAUUUCACAAUUACUUUGAAAUCGAGUUAAAGUGUACUUCUGAAUUUGACAAGCAGAUAUGCUUUAAUAUAAUUUCUACAGAAAGUUGUUUUUAAAUAUAUUCAUAAUUACACAUUUGUAAUGAUGAAGUUGCAAUUUAGCACAUUAAAAUAUAUUAACCUUAAAUGUAAAAUCAAAUAAGACAGUUAAAUAUAUAAUCAAGUAUUUUACAUGUGCUUUAGCAUGUUAGGCAACACAUCAAAAUAAAUAUACUUUUUUUUAAUUUACAUUAUUGCAGUUAUUAAAAUGUAUUUCUAAAGUGUACGUAAACAUGUUCAUAAAAGUGUACUCUCUUAAUAGUCCUGUUAGUUCAUAGCUAUUUUCUGCAAAAUUUUUAAAAUGUUUACUUCACAAUUUGAAGUAAUCUACAAGUGAUCAUGCUUACUUCUUCUUCUUUUUUUUUCACAAGGGAAGUGUUCCAGUUAUAAUUUUAACGAAAUAUGAAAAUGCUGUCAUCACUUACUCCCUGUUGGGUUAUUUUAAAUCUGUAUGACUUUCUUUGUUUGUGUGGAAAGAUGUUAAUGCCGCUCUUUUCGAUAUUUUCCAUCAGCCAAGCAUAACGACUAACAAACAUAUUAAAUUAAAUAUGAUAAAUGUUCACUGUCAUAAUUAAACACACAUGGGUAAUGAUAAAUCUUGCUUAAAAACAGAGAAAUGUGCCAAAGCUGAAAAAGAACACGGCUCCCAUGUGACUGUGGCUCAAGAUAUCUUUGUGUGAGAAAAAGUUUCAUUCAAAGCAGAUGAUCAUUCUUAAAGGUAAAGCGUGUCAUUUCACUCACUCAGACAAUAGGACAGGAGCUCUUUAACAUCACACAUCGGCUUUAAAGAUGUAAAUGAACAAGAUUCAAAGUGUAAUAAUGUAAUAAAUGGCACAGUAAAAUGAUGAUCUGUGUAGAGUUGUGUGUCUGAUCAGGACCUGAGCUCCGGUGCCUUCUGAGCUGAUAUCAGUUGUAUUGAUUCACUGGCUCAGUUCAGCAGGAACAGGAGUGUGGUCCCAGCACAAAGAACCACACACCUAGAGCUUUCACAGCCCAAAGGAAGACCCUUCUGCAGAACAUACAGACAUUACCAAUAGAAACAAGUCUGUGCUUGAUGUGUGCUUGUCUCCAAAUGAAUGUCCUAAAAUGCCUUGACCUUAAAUGCACCAGGAGGGCUACUUUCCCAGACACAGAUUAAGCAAAAUCCCACAGUAACUUGUGACUUGACUUGGUCACAUCUUAAAGACUUGAGAGCAUUAUUUGAAAAUAAACUAUUUACUUGUUA